UGAGAGCAAUCUGGCUGUGAUAGUUGUCAUCUCAUUGCUCAUGAGGUUUGAUUUGGCUUAUCUGACUAGCUGGUAUCUCUUCUCUUCAUACCUCAAUGUGCAUUCCUCCUACAUCAGAGCUCAUGGCGGUAAGUGCAACCUUCCUGCCCAGAGGAGUACUAUCAUUUGGUCAGGAUAUGGCAGUAGCUUGUGCUUCUCUGUUUAAGACUCAGCAAAAGACAAAUAGAGAAAGCCUGAAAGUGGGAACCAGUCUUGUUACCCAUCA
rnacentral:snRNA from 1 species